AGGGUUUGAUUCUGGCUCAGGAUGAACGCUAGCUACAGGCUUAACACAUGCAAGUCGAGGGGCAGCAUCAUCAAAGCUUGCUUUGAUGGAUGGCAACCGGCGCACGGGUGAGUAACACGUAUCCAACCUGCCGACAACACUGGGAUAGCCUUUCGAAAGAAAGAUUAAUACCGGAUGGUAUAGUUUUCCCGCAUGGGGUGACUAUUAAAGAAUUUCGGUUGUCGAUGGGGAUGCGUUCCAUUAGGCAGUUGGCGGGGUAACGGCCCACCAAACCAACGAUGGAUAGGGGUUCUGAGAGGAAGGUCCCCCACAUUGGAACUGAGACACGGUCCAA
rnacentral:rRNA from 1 species